AGCCAGGAUGUUGGCUUAGAAGCAGCCAUCAUUUAAAGAAAGCGUAAUAGCUCACUGGUCGAGUCGGCCUGCGCGGAAGAUGUAACGGGGCUAAACCAUGCACCGAAGCUGCGGCAGCGACGCUUAUGCGUUGUUGGGUAGGGGAGCGUUCUGUAAGCCUGUGAAGGUGGCCUGUGAGGGUUGCUGGAGGUAUCAGAAGUGCGAAUGCUGACAUAAGUAACGAUAAAGCGGGUGAAAAGCCCGCUCGCCGGAA
rnacentral:rRNA from 1 species